GGGACCGUAGCACAAUUGGUUAGUGUACCGGACUGUCGAUCCGGGGGUUGCGGGUUCGAAUCCCGUCGGUCUCG
rnacentral:tRNA from 1 species